UACGGGGGGAGCAAGCGUUGUUCGGAUUCACUGGGCGUAAAGGGUGCGCAGGCGGUUGGGUGUGUCAGAUGUGAAAUCCCGAGGCUCAACCUCGGAACUGCGUCUGAAACUACUCGACUAGAGUACUGGAGAGGGUAACGGAAUUCACGGUGUAGCAGUGAAAUGCGUAGAUAUCGUGAGGAACACCAGAGGCGAAGGCGGUUACCUGGACAGUUACUGACGCUCAGGCACGAAAGCAUGGGGAGCAAAAGGG
rnacentral:rRNA from 1 species